rfam:Pseudomonas fluorescens F113, complete genome.
UGACCAGGGGGCCGGGACGUUCUGACGGAUGAGCGUCGGAGUGACCUACGGGCACAAGGGGUGCCUGCGAAAGGGCCGGGUCAGGUAAAAG